rnacentral:rRNA from 1 species
UACAGAGGUGGCAAGCGUUGUUCGGAAUUACUGGGCGUAAAGGGCGCGUAGGCGGCCAUCUAAGUCUGACGUGAAAUCCCUCGGCUCAACUGAGGAACUGCCUUUGAAACUGUCUGGCUUGAGGCCGGGAGGGGGUAGCGGAAUUCCCAGUGUAGCGGUGAAAUGCGUAGAUAUUGGGAGGAACACCAGUGGCGAAGGCGGCUACCUGGACCGGUUCUGACGCUGAUGCGCGAAAGCGUGGGUAGCAAACAGG